GGUAACUGGCUGACUGGCGGCCGCUACUGUGGAAACCCCCUACAAAAGCCAACUCCCAAAGUGUUGGGCUGCUGCUGUUGUGGUUGGGGCUGCCCCUGUGCUGGCUGAUAAAGAAUGUCCCAUCUUCCUACCGCUCCACCAGUUCCUUCCAGCCCUGGGCCCUGCACAGCCAAGCUGAGAUCUGACAGCUGGCAUAGUGGAGGAGUGGGAACCGGUGGAUGGGGUCUUCAAGCCUUGGAAAAGGCCCUGCAUAUCCUGGAGGACGUGCUGCCCGAGGAACACUGGGCCAGUGCUGGUCAGAUGGGUGGAUGUUCCUUAGGGCACUGAAGCAGCAGCGUAAAGGCACUAGCCAGUGAUGUCCAGCUCUCUGCUAUGGCCUGGGAAAGCAGUAGAGGAUUGCCCAGGUCCUUGGGCCUCUGCACCCACAUGGGAGACCCAAAAGAAGCUCCUGGCUCCUGGCUCCUGGCUUCAGAUCAGCGCAGCUCCAGCCGUUGCAGCCAAUUGGGAAGUGAACCACUGGAUGGAAGACCUCUCUCUCUCUCUCUCUCUCUCUCUCUCUGCCUCUCCUCUCUGUGUAACUCUGACUUUCAAAUAAAUAAAAAAUCUUUACAAAAA